rnacentral:rRNA from 1 species
UACAGAGGUCCCAAGCGUUGUUCGGAUUCACUGGGCGUAAAGGGUGCGUAGGUGGUCGGGUAAGUCUGAUGUGAAAUCUCCGAGCUCAACUCGGAAAUGGCAUUGGAUACUAUUCGGCUGGAGGGUUGGAGGGGGGACUGGAAUACUUGGUGUAGCAGUGAAAUGCGUAGAUAUCAAGUGGAACACCAGUGGCGAAGGCGAGUCCCUGGACAACUCCUGACACUGAGGCACGAAAGCUAGGGGAGCAAACAGG